GACGAACCGUCCAAACGUUAUUCAGAAUCACUGGGCUUAAAGGGUGCGUAGGCGGAGAGGCAAGUCAGAGGUGAAAGCCCACGGCUCAACCGUGGAAGUGCCCCUGAAACGGCCUCUCUCGAGGGAGAUAGGGGCGUGCGGAACUCAGAGUGGAGCGGUGAAAUGCGUAGAUAUUCUGAGGAACACCGGUGGCGAAAGCGGCACGCUGGGUCUUUUCUGACGCUGAGGCACGAAAGCUAGGGGAGCAAACGGG
rnacentral:rRNA from 1 species